rnacentral:rRNA from 1 species
UCGGGAAUUUUGGGCAAUGGGCGAAAGCCUGACCCAGCAACGCCGCGUGAAGGAUGAAGUAUUUCGGUAUGUAAACUUCGAAAGAAUGGGAAGAAUCAAUGACGGUACCAUUUAUAAGGUCCGGCUAACUACGUGCCAGCAGCCGCGGUAAUACGUAGGGACCAAGCGUUGUUCGGAUUUACUGGGCGUAAAGGGCGCGUAGGCGGCUUUGUAAGUCACUUGUGAAAUCUCCGGGCUUAACUCGGAACGGCCAAGUGAUACUGCAAAGCUAGAGUGCAGAAGGGGCAAUCGGAAUUCUUGGUGUAGCGGUGAAAUGCGUAGAUAUCAAGAGGAACACCUGAGGUGAAGACGGGUUGCUGGGCUGACACUGACGCUGAGGCGCGAAAGCCAGGGGAGCAAACGGGAUUAGAUACCCCCGUAGUCCCUGAGCGGGCUGGCAAGGCGCAU